GAUACUCUUAGUCAAGCCAUUUUCAGUUAAAUUCAUUCAGCCACAUGAUUCAGGAAAAAUCAAUAAUCUCAGUAAUAUUCCAUCAGUCAACAGAACUCAGUUAACUCAGUUCAGUUAGUUCAAUUAGCCAUGUUCAGUGUCUAUUCAGAUGGGAGUAGGAAUUAGCACCGAGUAAACCCAAGGUGGGAACUCACCUGUCAUAUGAGGGUGUGAUUCUUGGACGCAAUUCUUGCGUUCCAGAACUAUGUAGCAAGCAUAGGUAAAGGUAUUAGUGUUUUGGACAAAUGGAGAAGCGGAGUUGGAUAAUACAUUAGUUGGUUGGUCCCCGAGAAUAGGGGUAAUGAGGGGAGAGAUUUGGAGUGGAGUCCCGUGUCCUCCUGGAGUAGGAGCAUUGAUGGUGAUGGCCAAGUUAGCUGAAUACUGGGUGUGAUUUAUUUCCUCCUGAAGCAUUUUUAUCUUUCUUGCAAGUUUCAUAAUCAUUUUAUUCUCUUCCGCUUUCACAUUAUCCCGGAUAGUCAGUGCGCUUUCUUCGCCAUUUCCUGUCAUUUUUGAAUGAUGGUCAGAGGAUGGGAUUUUACGCGCUUUUGAUCAGGUGAAGUAAGGAUGUUCUUCCAACUUAUAUCAGCACGGAGUAAUUUCUAUUAUCUGUAAAGUAAAACAACUCAAAGGCAGAUGUGUUAGUUUUCGUAUAUGAUAAGUAAUGCAAAAUAUUUGACAGGAAAUAACCACAUAGAGUUAUUUGAGUCAUAGCCAAAUUCAUCCAUAGAACAUAGUGGAUAAACUUUUCUCUGAUUCAAACAUAUGCACAUAUUCACAUGAAAUAGUUAUAUCACAAAAAAAUGUUAUAAUGACGCGUAUCCUAGCUGGGUGACCCUUUUAAGACAAGGGUUCUGGCCUAACAAUUUUUGAAGAAAAUAUAUGAUUCCUCGAAUUCAAUCCAUUAACCUCCAACUUAUAUAGACACAAAAAGGGAAUAAAUGCUUACAAAAGAUAACAAAAUAGGGAUACAAUCUUUAAGGAAAGGGAAAUAACAUGAAAGAAGACAUGUUCCCACACAGGGGAUAGAAAAUACUAAUUUUCGAGUACUUCUUCUAUCAACCUUUUCCUUUUUAGCUUGAUCCACUUCUUUAUUGGUGACAUCCGUUGACGUUCAAACUGUGCCUCAGAUGCAACCUCCCAAAUCGAUCAAUUUUUUGCUUAUCUUGCUUCAAUUUUUCUUACAAAAGGAAGCAAAUCAAGCUUUUUCCCAACCCCCAAAGGAUAAUGGAUUGAAUUAGAUAGGCAUACAUUUUCUUCAACACAUAAAUAUGGUUCGUCUAUAAUUGACUUGGGAUCAAUAGACACGGGGCAGGUUUUCUAAUGGGCCCAAUACACCACUCGAAUAUUGGGUCGUCCUAGGCACAUGCUUAAAAUAGGAUUUUGGUUUCAUUCUAUCCUCGGUGUCUAGAAUGGACUUGGACACUGGUUCUCAAGCGGAUAACUUGAGUUUAAAAAUAUGAACAACGUCAGACGACUCACGUGCUGAUAAGCUGUUCGUAUUUCCAACACAUUUUGGAAUUGAACAACAAGGGCCGGGACAUCUACGAAACCCCAAAAUAGUUUAUAAGAUGCAGGAAAUGCCAUGAGAUGCGAUAAUUAAACUUUACAUAAUCGAAACACAUAAAAACAUAAACAAUUAAUCAAAGACAAAAUAAAACAUUUUGUUAGAACCUAGUUAGAUCCCCAGCAGAGUCACUAUUUCUGUUUUGCGGAAAUUUUGACUUUUGAAGAGAGUCGCCACUUAAUUUGGAAAAGAAAUUAAGAAAACUUUAGAGAGUUACUUCAAACGAUUCAAAACAGAAAAAUCAUUUUAAUUUAGAGAUUCUAGAUAAGUUGUUCCUAUUAACGUUUUAGGAAGGUGUUACACCUAAAACGUCCGCUAACUUGCGAUUAUCUAGACUGUUUGAAAAUCGUCUUUUGAUUAACUUCAAAAAGAAUAAUUUGUUGAAAUAGUGAUUUAAUUUUUUCAAAAAAAAAAGAUUUACGUAAAAUAGAUUUAGGCGACUUAGUAGGAAUUUUAACUAAGUCUAAACAAAACAAAUAAACACAUAAAAGGGUAAGAGAGGAGAAAGUAAAGGAUUUAGGCCAUUAGGCCCAAAUCAACGAGACCUGUCCUAGUCUAGUUGGGCUUCCAACCCAUUUCACCUGUUCAAAACUAUUUUUCGAGCCUUUGGCUUGAGUCUUGCUCCACCUGCAUUAAAUACAACUUUGGCUUCGAGGCCAAAAUGAAUGAAUAAAUAAAUGACUAAAUGAAUAAAUAAAAAGAAGACAAUAAUAAAAAUUGAGACUUUUCAAGUCUUUUAGUGACCUCAUCAAUGGAUUUUGACCCAUUUUCCUUCUUUGUCUAUCUUCUAGCACCCGCACGCCAUGUAGUGGACCUUAGGUUUAAACUUCGAACUUGACUCAAAGGGGUGAGCCUCAUUUACCCUUUAUGAAAUGUAAGAGGAGAGGAGGUGGAUCGCAGGGCCUCCUCUGGAUCAUCACCAAUUUUAAAACUAUUAGUAAUUGCCCUUUCAUCUACCACAACGGGCGAUAGGUUAUGAGUGGAGUGGAGGUUCGAUUUUGCAAAUCCUCCCCAGGCGCAAUUUGCUUUAUCCCGCAUGACUCUGGGAGAUCUUUUGGUAUAUCAUUGCAUCCUUCAAACAAAUCUCCUAUCCCAUCCCCAAGACCAUCAUCAUAUGAUAUCUCUCGUACGGGAAAUGAUUGGAACAGGAGUGGCAAGGGCCUAAACAGACUCUUUUCUGGCUCAUCCUUAACCCUAUCUCUUCUAGUAGGCUGAUACCCUAACCCAUGCUUAGAGCUUCUCUCUAGAAUCACAAUAGGCUUGAUAAUUCUUUGUAAAUUCUUGCCCAAGCCUCGACUAGGUUCAAACCCAUUUCUUAACAUCACAGUUGCAAUCAUUUUGUAGACAGACGGCAUUGAUAUUUUGGGUGUCGAAUCUCUUUCCGUAGCGUUUACAAUUUCCACUGUAUAGAAACUGAUACAUUUUGGAACAUCUUCAAUCACCGGCAUAUAACCAUUGGGAUGGUCCGCUCGACUUCCUUCUCCUUGGAUGACUACUUCAUGAUCUUUCCAAAUGAACUUAAAUAAUUGAUGAAGGGGUGAUGAAAUUGCCUUCUCCUCGUGUAUCCAUGGUCUUCCCAAAAGCAGGUUGUAGCUAGGAUGGAUAUCUAUAACAUGAAACUCAGUCAUAAACUCAGCAGGCCCCAUUUGGAUAUGCAAAUCAAUCUCCCCUAUGGUAUCUCUAUGCCCUCCAUCAAAUGCUCUCACAUUUACGUGGCUUUAAGGAAUUUUCCCUAGAUCAUAGCCCAUUUGGACCAGCGUGGAGAGGGGAUAAAUAUUUACACCAGAUCCAUCGUCUAUUAAUACCUGAUUAAUUGUAUAAUCUCGACAAAUGAAGGUGACAUUCAUGGCUUUGUUAUGCAUUGCUCGUUCAAACGGCAACUCUUCGUCACUAAAUGAUAUGCGAUGGUUCCCUACAACGUUCCCUAUCAUCGCAGCCAAAUUCUCAACGCUCGUUCCUGCAGGAACAUACGUUUUCUCCAAGACCUUUGACAGAGCCUGUCGGUGGUGUUGCCAGCUCAAUAAUAGUGCCAAGACAAAGAUUUAUGCUGGCAUUUUCUCCAAGUGUUUGAUAAUUAAGUAAUUCUUUGGUUGCGUACGCCUCCAAAAUUCCUCAGCCUCUCCUUCAGUAAUUGGUCUUUUCUCUGAAUCUUUCUUGUUAGUCGAUUCCUCAUGGAUGUAACAUCGUCCUAAUCGCGUCAUCCCCUGGGCAGCGGCGGUUUACACAAUAAAUUCCUUCUUUGGAGGGGGAGCGUACACUUGAGUCGGUGCAAUCAUCACUAUAAAUGGGUCUUUCUCACUAAUACUUAAGGCAGCUACAGCUUUCUCUAUCUUUCCUACCUCUUCCGCCCUUUUGUAUUUUUCGGAGUUCACCUGAGUAAUGGUCUUGCCAGAUGCUCAUUCGCCUUUUAUUUUGAUCAUGUUGACUGUAGAUCCCCCAUGGUUGGGCAGUGGAUUACUGCUAACAUUUGGAGUCGGUUCCUGGAGCGUGAUAACCUUUUGAUCAAUUAGAUCUUAGAUUCUGUGUUUCAAGAUAAGACAAUCCCCGGUACUAUGCCCUGCUACCCCUGAAUGAUAGGCACAAUUUUGAUCAGGGUGAUAAAACCAAGAGCUAGGAUUGACAGUCUUUGGCUGUAUUGGUUGUAAAUGACCAGCAUUCUUCAAUCUUUCAAACAAUUGGGUGCGACUUUCAGCUAGUGGGGUGAAGUUUUGGGGAGGUUUAUUUUUGUGGUUUGGACGCUAGGGGUUAUACGGGCUUAGAUUUGUAGGAGGGGGUACUUGGUGGUAAUUUGGAGGUGUUUGGAAAUUGUUCGGCUAUUUGGGGGAAUAAUUUGGAAAUAAGAUUGAUAAUUUGGAGGUGGAACUGGGUAUUAGGAAAAGAUAUUUGGCUGUGGAGGUUGGUAUGAUGGUGGGAUGUUUGGGAGUGGAGUUUGGUAUUGGGGGUGAACGUACAAUGUGUACAGAAGGUUAGGUGAUGGCGGGGAAGAUAAAACGUAUCUAGAAUUGAACCGUUGUUUCAAUUUUGUAAUAGAAUUGGCAGAAACCCCACCUACCCAUUCCUUCUUCUUCUUAGAAAACAUGGGAGUUCCAGAUGAUGUCGGGGUUUUGGCAAUUUUUCCUGUCCGAAUACCAUACUCUAAUGACUCUCCUAUUUUUACCAAAUCUGCAAAGGUCGCUCUGACAGCGGACACCGUCCUGGUAUAAUAUUCUCCUUUUUUAGCGCGAGAGAACACGGAUACCAUUUCCUCCUCGGAUAUGGGGGCUGCACUUUGGCAUCUUCUUUUCUCCAACGAAAAGCAUAAUCUCGAAAACUCUCAAUGCUCUUUUGUUUAAUCUGAUCUAGUAAAUACCGAUCAGGGACUAUUUCAAUGUUGAAUGCGAACGGAUCAAGGAAACUCUUGGCUAAUGUCCUCCAACCAGCCCACCUUUUCAGCUCCUAAGACAUGAACCACUCCAAGGCUUCACCAUUCAAACUUCGAUUGAAUAGGCGCAUUAAUAAUGCCUCGUUUUUCCCUAUCCCUACUAGUUGCUCACAGUACCUUCUUAGAUGGGCCAUUGGAUUUCUGGUACCGUCAAAUAUCUCAAACUUAGGGACCUUGUAUCCUUCUGGUAGAUCUACUCCUGGGUGAACACACAAAUCGUCAUACCCCAAACCGUCGUGGUCCUUGGCCCCGUGAGACUCUUUGAUCCUCAUGAUCUCUUCUUGCAUGGCUAGUAAAUUCCUUUCAUGUUGGGCCCUUCAUUCCUUCUCCUUCUCCUUAUAAUGGUCCAUCUAAGGGUUAGGAAGGGGUUCAUAAAUAUUAGGGGAUAUGAUGGCUUGAGGGGAAUUUGGAAAGAAGGCUUGAUUUUAUAGAUGGAGGGAAUUUGGUUGGUAAAUAGAGAGAAUAUUUUGGAAAUUGAGAAGGUUAUGUGGGCCUUGUAAGUAGUUUGGCAAAAUAUGAGAAGGGUUUUACGGAUUUGGAAAUAAAUUUGGUGGAUUCAAAGGUAAGUUUGCCGUAUUUUGUGGAUUUGGGAGUAAAUCUUGCGGAUUUGGGAAUGCAUUUUGUUGACUUGAGAAUGUGUUUUAAGGAUUUAGGAAUGGAUUCGAAAACAGGUUCUGUAGGGUUGCGGAUGGAUUUUGUGGAUGGUAGGCGUCUGGAUUAUUUUCACAAUUAGUGUUUUGGACAAAUAGAGGAGCGGAGCUAGAUGAUAUGUUAGUUGGUUGGUCCCCGGAGUACUGAGGGGAGGGAUUUGGAGUGGAGUCCCAUGUCCUCUUGGAGUGGGAGCAUUGACGAUGAUGGCCAAGUUAGCCAAAUACCGAGUGUGAUUUAUUUCUUCCUGAAGCAUUUCUAACUUUCUUGCAAGUUCCGUAAUCAUUUCAUUCUGUUCUGCUAUCACAUUAUCCCGGAUAGUCAGUGCGCUUUCUUCACCAUUUCCUGUCAUUUUUGAAAGAUGGUCAGAGGAUGGAAUUUUAUGCGCUUUUGAUCAGGUGAAGUAGGGAUGUUCUUCCAACUUAUAUCAACACGGAGUAAUUUCUAUUAUCUG
rnacentral:lncRNA from 1 species